GAUGAACGCUGGCGGCGUGCCUAAUACAUGCAAGUCGAGCGAACAGACGAGGAGCUUGCUCCUCUGACGUUAGCGGCGGACGGGUGAGUAACACGUGGAUAACCUACCUAUAAGACUGGGAUAACUUCGGGAAACCGGAGCUAAUACCGGAUAAUAUAUUGAACCGCAUGGUUCAAUAGUGAAAGACGGUUUUGCUGUCACUUAUAGAUGGAUCCGCGCCGCAUUAGCUAGUUGGUAAGGUAACGGCUUACCAAGGCAACGAUGCGUAGCCGACCUGAGAGGGUGAUCGGCCACACUGGAACUGAGACAAGGUCCAGACUUCUAAGGGAGGCAGCAGUAGGGAAUCUUCCGCAAUGGGCGAAAGCCUGAAGGAGCAACGCCGCGUGAGUGAUGAAGGUCUUCGGAUCGUAAAACUCUGUUAUUAGGGAAGAACAAAUGUGUAAGUAACUAUGCACGUCUUGACGGUACCUAAUCAGAAAGCCACGGCUAACUACGUG
rnacentral:rRNA from 1 species